GGCGCGUUGCUAGGCGGAGCGGGCCGGGUAACGGCCGCCGGGCCCGCUUUCCCUGCCGCUAGGGCGGGCAGGGCCCCGACCCCCGGUCCCACCCGGCGCCCAGCUCCGACCCUGGCCCUGGGGUUCCUGCCGGGGUGCUGGGGCGUGGGGGGCUCGCUUCCCCCUCCUCCAGAGCUGGCGUCCUUCCGUAGCGCACCCCCUCCCCGGGUAACCCUAUGGAGAGGGUCCCGCGGAACGCCAUCGUCUUCAACGCGUCCAAAGGGGAGGCGUUCACCCUCGCCAGCAACUACAAAGCCUUGCGGAAAAGGCUUCGCGGUAACUGGAAGAUCCAGAGCUUAAAAGAUGAGAUCACAUCCGAGAAACUGUUUGGAGUAAAACUGUGGAUUACAGCUGGGCCAAGAGAAAAGUUCAGUGCUGCUGAGUUCUCGGUUCUGAAGAAAUUCCUGGAGGAUGGUGGAGCCAUCCUGGUGAUGCUAAGAGAAGGUGGAGAGACCCGAUAUGGCACAAAUAUUAACUUCUUGUUAGAAGAAUAUGGAAUCGUUUUCAAUAAUGAUGCUGUAGUACGAAAUGUAUAUUACAAGUACCACCACCCGAAAGAAGCACUGAUCUCUGAUGGAGUUUUGAAUAGGGGAAUCAGUGAAGCUGCAAGAAAAACAUUGCUGGAGACAACAGAUGAAGAUGGAAGUGGACGUGACGCACAGGCACUCACUUUUGUGUACCCAUUUGGUGCCACACUGAAUGUGAUGAAACCGGCGGUGGCUGUUCUGUCGACAGGAUCUGUCUGCUUCCCCCUCAACAGGCCUAUUCUUGCCUUUUAUCAGCACGAGCUCAAGGAAGAGGGUAGAAGGGUAGAAGAUGAAGCCAGAGACAGAGGUUGUCUCUCAAGCAGAGCAGAGAAACUUGGUAGAAGGAAAACAAGAGCUCUUGGAGAGGAAGAGAGAUAUGGUAAAGAAGAGCAACAGAAGGUGAAGGAACAGAAAAGUCAAGGUGGAAAGAUGGCAGCGCUGGGAUCUUCCCACAUGUUCAGUGAUCAAUAUUUAGAUAAAGAAGAAAAUGGCAAGAUCAUGGAUGUGCUUUUCCAGUGGCUCACAACAUCAGAUAUCCAUUUAAACCAGAUGGAUAUGGAGGACCCUGAGAUUUCAGACUAUACCAUGCUUCCAGACACCGCCGCGCUGUCAGAGCAACUGCGAGUCUGUCUGCAAGAAGGAGAUGAGAACCCAAGAGACUUCACAAAGCUGUUUGAUACAGCCCUGUAUCAGCUGGAUACAACUGCCCUCCCUUCAGUUAUCAAAGCUUAUGAACAGCUGAAUGUGAAGCACGAACCCCUCCAACUCAUUCAGCCGCAGUUUGAGACUCCACUACCUGCCUUCCAGCCAGCUGUUUUUCCACCUGCUUUCAGAGAAUUGCCUCCUCCUCCUCUGGAGCUGUUUGACUUGGAUGAAACUUUUUCCUCUGAGAAAGCUCGUCUUGCAGAGAUUACAAACAAAUGUACUGAUGAUGACCUGGAGUUUUACGUACGAAAAUGCGGCGAUAUCCUAGGAGUGACAAGUAAACUCCCAAAGGAGAAGCAAGAUGCCAAACACAUCCUGGAGCACAUCUUCUUCCAAGUGGUCGAGUUUAAGAAACUGAAUCAGGUAUUUUUAAUGACAGAAUUACAAUAGUUGGUAGUAUCAGCGCUAUGUUUGUAGCAGCUACUCUUGUCACGGGCAAGAGGUACAGGGAUGUGUUAAAACAUUUGUUGUGUAAUAAGUUAGACCAGUGAAGCAUAAUCCAGAAUGCUUACGACUGUUAAUCUGUAUAGAAUGUGUAGUGCUUAAUUUAUGAAGUCUCUCGUUUAUUUUAUUUGGGGGAUUAAUACAUGCAAGUGUAGUUUUGGUAAUUUCAGCUAAAUACGGUUCAUUAAUGGUGCAUUGUGUGCCCUCAUGAAUGUUCACGGUGCUUCCUAACGCUGAAUGUAGAUGUGAAACCAGCUUGGUUACUCACAAACAGUAUUGUAUUGAAAUAAUUCUUUAUAGUAAAUUUGAUGCCAUAAAGUCUGUUUGGAACAUAUGGGCGCAUCAGCUGUUUCUACUAACAGUUAUUCUCUGUUUCUCAAAUAAUCUAGGUAAGAUAAACUGUCAUUUCUACCCUCUUGUUAAAGUUCUUUUUUUUU